GUUCCGGUAGCGCAUUGGAUAGCGCGUUGGACUUCUAAUCCAAAGUUCAUGGGUUUCAAUUCCACCUGGGGUG